UCUGUCUCUCUGUCUGUCUGUCUGUCUCUCAGGCCUGCAGAGGAUUUACUCCCUGACCAGGUCUGGAGGGUACGAGUUACGGAUCGACAUGGCCGACUUCGACAACGCGACGGCGUUUGCUCUAUACGGAGAAUUCUCCGUCGGCCGAGACUCGGUGAACCCCGAAGAGGACGGGUACCCCCUGAUUGUGGACCAGUACUCCGGGACCGCAGGUACCAGAACCAGAACCGCACCAAACAACAGAGAGGUACCAGAACCACCCUAACAGACUGGUACCAGAACUUCCUUGACAACAGAGAGGUAUCAGAACCAGAACCGCCCUAACAACAGAGAGGUACCAGAACCACCUUAACAGACAGGUACCAGAACCAGAACCACCCUAACAGACAGGUACCAGAACUGCCCUAAUAACAGACAGGUACCAGAACCACCCUAACACAUAGGUACCAGAACCAAAAUCACCCUAACAACAGACAGGUACAAUAACCAGAACCACCCUAACA